UGCUGCUCAUUUUUCUUCCACUAUUUUGCUCUUAUGGGUUUCUCAUUCUUCAACGCUUCAGGUUUCUCAGUCCGUUCAUAUCUUCCGCUACCUUUUACUUCCCCCUUAACCUAGCAGCGCCGUUGCUCACAUGAGAGAGAUUUGAACUCUACGAUCUGGGGUGGUUCCCCGUGGUGACCUGAGGCCAAGCUCCUUCACAACCUGAGAUGGAUCCUUCUGCAAAGCGAUUCAAACCACGGAGGUUGCAGGGUAUGGUGAGAGGAACACACAGAGGCUGGGAGCUCUGAUCUUCAAUCCUGUCCAUUUUGUUCGUGCUUUGAGUAGAAGGGGAUGCUGCCUUCAAAUAUCAAAGAAACAUCCAAAGAAUCAAGGCGCAGAGAUGUGAGCAUUUCCUAUAUACAUGUGUGUGUUCCCCCUUUGCUAUUGUAGAAUUCUGGGCGUAUGGGAUCCAGGUAAGCACUACUCCUAACAGAAUUAUUAAUUUCAUGUAAAUGUUCCAUAUAAAUUUGAUAAAUGAUAACAAGGUGUUAUUUACAUAUGCAUACCCCUGUGUCAUGUGGUUAGCAAUCAGGCCAACACUCUUGGAAUGAUUUUGUGUUUUUACAGUUGAGUUUUUUAUUUGAGUUUUUAGUUUUUUUCUUUUUUUUUUAUAAUUUUGGACAUGAGAAAGUUAGGGUCUGUGGCUAAGUUGUGUUACAUUGCAUCUUGAUGUUCAUUCGAGAGAACUGGUGAAGGGGCAGGGGCUUAGUGAGCGUGGGGAAAUUAUUCUCUUCUAUAAGGCUGAACCUAAAACAGAUGAAGUAUAUGAUCAGACAACUUUGCUUCCUGAAGCAGAUGUGAGUGUGCUCUGACUUCUGCCAUUGGAUUGAUUGGCACAUCGAUUGAGGAACUACACCCGAGAGCUAAGAAUCAGAGUAAAAGAGUCCUACUGCUAACCUUAUUUUAAAAUCUUUUAUAAUCUUAUUUCAGUUUGAAGCAUCAUUUACUAAUUAUAGAACUUGAUCCACAUUGUCAAUUUCCCUCCCAGACAGAGAUUGUGGUAUCGCAUCAUAAAGUUUGUUCUUUUCUCACUAGCUUUUCUUCUUUGCAAAUAUUGUUUCUGCAACCACAACUUUUCUUUUUGCAGAUAUUAUGUCUGCAAUUGAUCUCAUCCCUUUGUUGCUUCAAUAUUCUAUAAAUGCUUCUCCUGGAUGUUCCCGGUUGCAUUGUUUUGGAUUCUCUUUGAUUCUACAUGCUUGGAUGAUCAAGUAGCCAAUUAAGUGUGAUUCAAGUGUAUCAUCUUAUCCGAACUAAAGGCAGAUGUUCUCAGGAACGAAAAAAGUAGGAGUAACGAAGAAGAUAAAUGAGAAUGUAUAUGAGAAUUCUUCCUGAAUGUACAAGUUGUUGCAUUGUUGUCUCCCACCAAGAAUUAUGUGAGCAGAGAGAGAAGGCUGGGACAGAAAAAUGCUAAAAUGAGUUAUUUUAGAUUGCAAGAACGUCAAUCUUUCCAGAACAAGAAAGUAAAGUUCUCAGCCAGCAGAGGCAGCAUCAAAGUGAAGGACAAGAAAGUAGUGGACAGAAAGAUUCAUAUGCUAAUCAACCUCUGAUCAAUUGUAUCAAGUGAAAUUCAUUUAGAAACUGUACAGGUUAUUGUUGUUGAUUCUCAAGAGGAUGAUAGUACGGAUAAUUGAAGCGCAUAAGCUUUGUUGAGUUCAACACUACAGGUUUUGGUUAAAAUCUGAUGGCUAGAAUGGUAUAUGUGGAGGGAGAAGGGUUAUGGAAAAAUUGUCAAGGCAUGGCACUGCCCAUUAAGGUUAUCCAAAGGCCUAAGUCACUUGAUUUAGGAGUGCAAUUCUCUUGCAGCCCUGAUGAGCCAGCCACUGAGGGAGCUGUGAUCAAGUCUUCAAGAAUUGGUGCUUUGGAAAACAUACCAAAGAAUUUGGAUCAAAGAUGAUGGCUAAGACAGUAGGUAGAGAAUCAUAAUGUAAUUACACCAUUGAGUGUUGUUAGGCUACCGAAGUCAUGACUCAUGAGGACUAGGCUCCAAAAGUUAAUUUAGAUUUCUUUGUUUUUGCUCCUUUCUAAUUGUAUAUUGGCCUAAGAUUAUGAUUCACCUUUGUAGUUUAGCUUUAGCACGCAUUUUCUAACAAUGGAAUUCACUAUGUUAAAAUGUUA